rnacentral:lncRNA from 1 species
AUCUACAGAAUAAAGGUCCUCUGGCUUGGUCAAAAUUGACUCUCUGUCUGAAAGGAGAAGGAGGAACAGGCACUGUGGCCUUGUUAAAUCCAACAGGCUACCUAUUAGUAUGUACAUUAAAAGAGACAGAGUCUCGAUUAAAGUGAGAAGAAGACUGGACUUGUCUUUGUUUCUCAUCAUUGAGGACCAUAUUAUAGAUAUUGUCAAGAGAAGGAGGAGGCUGCAUCAUCAAAAGAUUACUCCUAACCCCCAUAUAUGCUUCAUUCAGACCCAUUAAAAACUGAAAGACCUUAUUGUCAUCACUUUCUUGUACUAUACCAUCUUUUGCAGCACAAAUACACCUUUGACCAUGAUUAACACACAUUGAAUCA